CUGACUUCUCAAAUAAUAUUAUAGAGAUAUACCAAAACACCCUUUAUAUUUACCGGCUAAACCUCUUCAACCUAUUUUCUCUGUUUUUAUUUUCAUCUCAAAAUUCUUUUGAUCAAUGUUGACAGAUUUUCCUGCACCUAAAGUUGAAUCAAUCGGAAAAUGAAACGUAACUUUUCUUAAUCUCUAUCGCCAAAGAAGAGCGUCGUUAUGUCUGGAAGAAGGAGGAAAUGAUGAAGAUGAACUCCCGAACUAUACUAUUUCCUUAGAAUAGAACAAUAUGUUAUACUUUCAGAUUUGAUACUUCUUUUUAUCAUUUUCGAUUGCUUAUUAUAUAAAAUUUAUUUCAUACGGAUGUUGGAAAAAUAUUACAAAAAUCAAUAUGAUUUGUUUAUCAUACGGUC